rfam:Papilio xuthus contig17584, whole genome shotgun sequence.
CCUUCGAUAGCUCAGUUGGUAGAGCGGUGGACUGUAGAGGAGCCGAUGCUGUCAUCCAUAGGUCGCUGGUUCAAAUCCGGCUCGAAGGA